UUUAACGUUUAUUUAUUUUUGAGACAGAGAGAGAGAGAGAGAGCAUGAACAGGGGAGGGUCAGAGAAAGAGGGAGACACAGAAUCUGAAACAGGCUCCAGGCUCUGAGCUGUCAGCACAGAGCCCGACGUGGGGCUCAAACCCACGGACUGCGAGAUCAUGACCUGAGCCGAAGUCGGACGCUUAACCGACUGAGCCACCCAGGUGCCCCUUAUUGACUAUUUUUAAGUAUAUAAAGUGUUAACAGAUUUUUGUACCUGUUAGAGAAAUACAGAUUUUUUUUUCUUCCAGUUCAUAAAGGACAAAAUACAAGGGAAUGGAGUUUAGCUGGAAAUGAGGAAGUACUUCCUGAGAAUUAAGAUUAAGGGAGCCUCUGGAGUUUCAGUGUAUGGUUAAGAAGAGAAUAGACUGGAAUGCAGAGGAAUCAGCUGAAUCUUCACAUUUUCUUUUCAAUUCACUUAAAUUAGGCUCUUACCUCCACUCCUUCCUUGAAACUACUCUCCUGGAAGUCACCAGUGAUCUUCAUGUUGCCAAAUCCACAGUCCUGUUGGUCAGGUUGUUCAGUUCACUAUCAUCCUGCUUGACCAUCCUCAUGAGCUUCAUCAGCACAAACAAAACUCCCUUCUGGGACAUAUUCCUAAAACUCUACAGUCCUCUGGUUCUCCUUCUAUCCCACUGUGGCUCCUUUUUCAUCUUCCAACAUCUUAAUUUGGGUCUAGGAUUUCAUUUUUCUAUCUGUACUCAUUUCCUUAUUGACUUUAUCCAACCUCAUGGCUACCAGAUACCAUCUAAAUGCUGUUGACCCUCAAAUUCACAUCUCUAAUAUAGACCUCUGCCUUGAGUUUCAGCAUUAUACGUGUCUAAAACCAAGCUCUUGAUCUUCCUCCUACCCCAUAUCUGUUCUGCCACCCCAGUCUUUCUUAUCUUAGUUAAUGGUAACCUCAUCCUUUUACUUGCUCAGGUGAGAAACCUUGGGAUCAUCCUUGAUUACUUCCUCUCAUGCUCUGCUUAUAUCCCGCUCAUCAUCAAAUCUCACCUUGGCCACACCUUUGGAACAGAUCCAGUAUAUAUGACUGCUUCUUACCGCCUACAUUUACCACCCCAAUCUAAACUGUCGUCAUCUCUUUCCUGGUUUGUUGCAAUAGCUUCUUAGUAGCUUCUUCCUUUCACUCUUACCCCUCCUACAGCCUAUUCCCAGCACUUUCUUCAAAGAACCCGAAGGAUCCUGUUGAAAGAUGGAAGGACGCAUUCAACUGGAUUGGGGAGUCAAAUCAGCAAAACAGGGCAUGCUACACAAUACACAGAAUGGACAUUGGAACUGGGCAUGGAGAAGGUGAUGUGAAGGCACAUUUGGAAGCCGAAUCCCACCAGUUUGGGCUGAGAUCCGCGAGUACUUCUAAAUCAAUGAAAAGUUUUCUCAUCUCCCCAAAAGAGAUCAAUAAUCAGUUGGAAAUAGCUGCUGCUGAACAAUCUUAGACAUACCACACGAAUGAAUAUGCAUUAUGGUUUUAUUUCCUGUUGCUCUAUGCAGCUUACAUUUUCUGAUUCACAGGUUACAGUAAUGCACCCUUGUGGGCAAACAAGGAAACCUAAAUGCCAGAUACAUUUGCCCCUUAUGGUAUAGAGCUAAUUCUCUCAGGUCUCUGCAACCAUCCUGCUGUCCGUAGCACAUCAGAUCAAAUGUUCUGCCCAACUGUAUUUUGAUUUAAAAUUAAACUUUUGAAUCAUCUUCUUGAUUUGUGUGAAGAUUUUAAUGAAAUCUGAAGACAACAAAAAAGGCACAAAGAUUGUUGACAUCUCAUUCUACUUUGCUUACUGUUUGCACAUCCAGGAUAGUUCAAAUGUAAAUUUUGGAAGUUCCAUUCAAUCUACAAACUUCUCACCAAAGAAACUGAAAUGAUCUUACCUAUUAAAUGCCUACAUGCCUCAUACACAUACUCUUAAAAAAAAAAAACAUUUAAAAACAGAAGCAGUGUGAUUGUUUACCUAUGAAAUUGAGGCUUUCAUAAUCCAAGUUUUGGGUCACUUUUCCAUUUCCUCAAAAUGUACAGAAGCAUUUAAUGAGAUGUUUGAAUUUAUAGAAAUGCAGGGAGAGAGCCUCCUAAGCAUCUUUGCCUUACAAGAUGAUUGUCGUUAUUGUCAGUAUAAAAUGAUACUAACGAAUUGGCCGGGUGUAAAAUCGUAUUUUCGAGUGUUGUGGGACAAAAGGAAUGUCCUUCUCUAAUUUGGAGUAACACUGAAGAUGAGAAUGGAGGGAAAAGGACAGUAAAACAGACAUUUAUAUGCUGUUUCUUCAGAAGUUUUUAGUGAUCUUUGAUGAAGCCCUAAGAAGCCUAUGAAAGGAUAAAGUGACUGAAUCUGAGUCAUUUGGUGUUAUAUUUAGGUUGUGGCAAAAACUCAUAUGGUAAUAAAAUGACUCCUUUUUGGAAA